UGGGGGUGGGGUGGGAAGGACUUGGAGGUGUCUCUCUCUCAUGGGCUGUACUUCUCUCUGGCUGGCCCUCGGAGGUGGAAGUCACUGUGAGGACCUUUGUUAACAGGACACAAGAUGACUACUCCUAUGCUGAUCCUGGGAGCCUACUUAUGUGAACUGACUGCGGCUAUUUCAAGGAAGAACAGGGCUCUCCCUCCCUCCCUCCCUCCCUCCCUCCCUCCCUCCCUCCCUCCCUCCCUCCCUCCCUCCCUUCCUCCCUUCCUUUGGGUACCCCUGGCUCUCCUCACUUCUUUUCUUCUGUCAAUCUAAAACAAAAUGUGGCCCAGUGACUGUGUUUGGAGACAGUAAAGCAUUACAAAG
rnacentral:lncRNA from 1 species